rnacentral:rRNA from 1 species
UCGCCGUUCGUCGGAUCGGACAACGCACCCGAAAACACGGUCUUGUCCAGACCACCGUCCACAGGCUAGCUUCGUACCGUAUAGAAAGCGCUUGCUGUACCGCGGUACCCGUCGUGGUCGCCCCGGCACUCGCCGCGGCACCCGUCGCAGUACCCCUGGCUCAUCGCUCGUACGAAGGGAAUGACGUGACACGCAAGACGGUGCGAAUCGCCAUGAACGGUGUGACCGGACGCAUGGGCUACCGCCAGCACCUCGUCCGUUCCAUCCUGGCCCUCCGUGAACAGGGCGGCCUCGACCUGGGCGACGGCACCGUGCUGUGGCCGGAACCGGUCCUGGUCGGCCGCCGUGAACACGCCCUGCGGACGCUGGCCGAACGUCACGGCCUGGAGCACGUCUCGACGGACGUGGACGAGGUCCUCGCCGACCCGUCCGUGGACAUCUACUUCGACGCCCAGGUCACCUCGGCCCGCGAGGAGGCGAUCAAGAAGGCGAUCGCCGCGGGCAAGCACGUCUACACCGAGAAGCCGACGGCCACCGGCCUGGACGGCGCCCUGGAGCUGGCCCGCCUGGCGAACGCCGCAGGCAUCAAGCACGGCGUCGUCCAGGACAAGCUCUUCCUCCCCGGCCUGCUCAAGCUCAAGCGCCUCAUCGACGGCGGCUUCUUCGGCCGCAUCCUGUCCGUGCGCGGCGAGUUCGGCUACUGGGUCUUCGAGGGCGACUGGCAGGACGCCCAGCGCCCCUCCUGGAACUACCGCGCCGAGGACGGCGGCGGCAUCGUCGUCGACAUGUUCCCGCACUGGGAGUACGUCCUGCACGAGCUGUUCGGCCGCGUGAAGUCCGUCCACGCCCUUGCCACCACCCACAUCCCGCAGCGCUGGGACGAGAACGGCAAGCCCUACGACGCCACCGCCGACGACGCCGCCUACGGCGUCUUCGAGCUCGACGGCGGCGCGAUCGCCCAGAUCAACUCCUCCUGGGCCGUGCGCGUCAACCGCGACGAACUGGUCGAGUUCCAGGUCGACGGCACCGAGGGCUCCGCGGUCGCGGGCCUUCGCAACUGCCGAGUCCAGCACCGCUCGGCCACCCCCAAGCCGGUGUGGAACCCGGACAUCCCCGCCACCGAGCUCUUCCGCGACCAGUGGCAGGAAGUCCCCGACAACCAGGACUUCGACAACGGCUUCAAGGCACAGUGGGAGCUCUUCCUCAAGCACGUCUACGCCGACGCGCCCUACCACUGGGACCUGCUGGCCGGUGCCCGCGGCGUCCAGCUCGCCGAGCUGGGCCUGAAGUCCUCGGCCGAGGGCCGCCGUCUCGACGUACCGGAGAUCGCGCUGUGACCCUCCACCUGCCCGACGCGAACGGCGCCCUGCGCGCCUACGAGCCCCGCACCGAGCCCCUCACGCUCACCCCGGGAAGCGCUUUUACCUCCCGCACCGUCUUCUCCGCGGCGCACGUCGUCGCCGACCCGUACGCGGACACCACCCCCGACGGCCCCGCCGCCGUCGACUGGGACUCCACCCUCGCCUUCCGCC